AUUGAACGCUGGCGGCAGGCCUAACACAUGCAAGUCGAGCGGAUGAAGGGAGCUUGCUCCUGGAUUCAGCGGCGGACGGGUGAGUAAUGCCUAGGAAUCUGCCUGGUAGUGGGGGAUAACGUCCGGAAACGGGCGCUAAUACCGCAUACGUCCUGAGGGAGAAAGUGGGGGAUCUUCGGACCUCACGCUAUCAGAUGAGCCUAGGUCGGAUUAGCUAGUUGGUGGGGUAAAGGCCUACCAAGGCGACGAUCCGUAACUGGUCUGAGAGGAUGAUCAGUCACACUGGAACUGAGACACGGUCCAGACUCCUACGGGAGGCAGCAGUGGGGAAUAUUGGACAAUGGGCGAAAGCCUGAUCCAGCCAUGCCGCGUGUGUGAAGAAGGUCUUCGGGUUGUAAAGCACUUUAAGUUGGGAGGAAGGGCAGUAAGUUAAUACCUUGCUGUUUUGACGUUACCAACAGAAUAAGCACCGGCUAACAUCGUG
rnacentral:rRNA from 1 species